UCUCUCUUCCUCCCCACAUGAAAAACGGAUCAGGCCAUCGCUCCCGUAGGUCUCCUUCAGACGCCGCGGUUCCCAACCGCAGCAGCAUCCAGCACCCCCAAUUGCCGCUCUUCCUAAUCCUCUUUCUUGACGAGUCUUAUCUUUGGGACGUUUCUCCCUUCGGUCUUUCAUCCAUGCUGGAAUCGAUCUGAAAUAACUAGUAAUCCAAUAUAUAUUCUCAGGAUGGAAUCUGUCCAAUAUGGUUGAUGCAUCGGAGGAGGUGUACCAUGUACCACAAUAGUUUCAAGCAGAUUGUGUUGAUCAUCCCUGCAUCCAGUUAGCACGCAAGUAACUCGGUAUCCUUGAAUUUCCUGAUUUGGAUAAUUUCUACUCCUAAAAUUUAUCUCUAAUACUCUCCACAAGGUUGGUGCUAGCUCUGCAAUUUUGAAAGGCUGAUUUAUGGAAAGUGCGUGUCCACGUAAACUUGGAUUUGUGGUGACUAUGUAAGGCUGAUGAGGAUGACAGAUGAUAUAGCCUGAUUUAUUUCCAUCCGCUAUAAGGCACUUGAGCCGGGCCGAUGCCUACGCCAUAAUCCGAGCUGCUUAGUGUGUACCUCUCAAUGCCCCAGCCGGAACAACCAUGGCCACGUACUUGUUGAGGACAACCUCUCCGCGACUCCAAUGUUCUAUUACGAUCUCUCAACUAGGCAUACAAUAGACCGUGAAGUGUGGCAUCAAGAACAUCAGCACGCUACAGGAGAAGACCAUGAAGAUCAGCAAGGAAGUGUUGCAUGUGUCAUGAAGGUUGGUCAAGAAGGUGUGAGACUGCUGCUACUUAAAGGUCAGGGUGGCCUGCAACCACAACAAGACACCCGCCAUGCAUGUUCCUUGCAAGCAGCAGCAUGAAUUUGCCAUCAAUAACAUAACAAGGACCAAAUCGAUCAUUGUCUACAUGUGUUACUACUCUCAGCAGAGUGGAAUAAAUGUUAAAAAAUUUGUGUACUGGCCAUUGUUUUAUUAUAGACCCUCAUCUCUCAAAUUUUCUGCUACAAAUUUGGUGCAGGUAAGUCCAUAGUUCUGUGGAUACGACAUCGGCAUGUCCAGAAUUAUGGGUUUACAUUUUAGUUUUAUUUCGUGCCAACUUACAUGAGAAAACAGUAGAAAGGUCAGUUCAUUUUCCCCUGUUAUGCAUGGAUAUGAUACCUUCUCACGUUCUACUCCUAAAUAGUUAGUGGUUUGGUCCCCUUUUCAUGGUUCCCAGGUUCGUGCUUCUCUUCAUCAUCUAUCUCUUAUCAAGUUCUAGGUGUAAACCUAUCAAAUUUUAUAUCUAACAAAUGUUAUUGCUUUGCUACCAAGGUUGUUCUGACCGUGUCUUGGCCUUGACUUAGAUGAAAAAGAGUCAGUUCUUUGGUGUCAUGCCUAGCUACAGUUGGUUGUUUUGUAAGUUGCAAGGUAUCUCAUAAGGCACAUGAACAGAUAUCCAUGGUAUUAAUUUGGAUCUCCAUGCCGCGGGGUAGAAAGGACAGAAAGGAGCAGCAGGAUAGCCAGUCCAAUAUUGAGCAGAUUCUGUCUUGGGGAUCACUACCUCGGUGCAAGCAUCCUCUUCCCCACGCCCCCUGAUUUGGUCAUGGCGGUUAAGGGGUAUAAUACUAUAAUCAUGCCCGAUUGGAUAAGAAUCCUAUGUUUCAUGCAAUUUCUUUGAGUUGAUUUCCUCUGCAGAAGAAUUUACGUGCAGGCUGUCCUCACUAGGAGGGAAAUUUGAUCAUGUGUGCUGUCAGUAGGUCUUCCAGAACUAAUAGUUUUUUGUAUAAAAAAUCAGGAGCUUCAACCGAUUCGCUCGCAUGGCAAGCGACUAGCUCUAGCUAGAUGGGUUCUAUUUCAAUUACAGCUUAGAGAUAACGUUUUCUGGAACUAAACGCUUAUGUUAUUUGGAUUGCCGCAGACAGAUGAUUAGGUUGUCUCUUAGUUUUUUUCAAGUUAUAUAAGCGCCUAUUGAAUAGUUCUUUGCGUCGGACCCUUAGUGUAUGUAGCUGGUUUUUUCAUAUUGGCAUUUAAGCACCUAUAUACAAGCACUCUACAUAUUAGAGAUGGUCUAACAUGAUGUAGUUUUACUGUUGCAAUGAAAUAAAUGAGAAAAUAGCCGUUGUUCGACAGGAAACCUGGAGUCAGCAUCUAGCACCCUGCACUACAAACCAUCGGUUUGUGGUCAAUUUGGUAUCUCGGUGGUGAAAAUUGGAGCAUAUAUACUCUACAGCCAAUCAAAUCAUUUAUAAGUAUGACAUGAACCAUAGAAAGGUAACUGAAUUUGAUUUGACUUUGGUUUAGGUCCAAAUAUAACAACCUUACAUUGGUAAGCGCAUUCGAAAUUGUGAACUAAAAUUAUGCUUAACAUGAGAGGAAAUCAAGUUUUUUGCUACGGGUAUGGUUAACAGUAGCAGCAUAUCAAGUAUAACAGUGGACUGCACUAUUGUUUGUUCACCGUGUUGUUCUUCUUUAGUUAAAGAUUUUCUGAACAUUGAUACCUACCUCUUAAUAGCACUCGCCUAAACACUUUUUUCUUCAUCUAAAAGUGUUAUAUUUUUUACAUAACAGCAUCUUGACGCGGCCAAACAGUGCAGCAAUUAUAUUGUAAUCGUGAUUGCAUAUGUAGCUCUUUUGUUUCCACCCCAAAAUGUCAUUAAACUUAAUUUAAAUUUCAGUUCGAUCUGAAGAGGUUAUGCCCUUUCACUUAGUAUCGACCAACAUUGGUUCUCAAUGUUUAUGCAUCAUUAGUUUCAUAAGAUACCAGAAUGCAUGUGUGGAGAGAAUAUUAGUUCAGUUGUUAAAAACAAUCGUUGUACUGUUCCUAAAUUUUGUUAGAUUAGUUGGUCCGCUACAUUCAUAGAAUGCUAGACUUGAACUAUUUAUAGAUUCCAUUUCUUUGCGCACUUUUAGUCCUAUAAGAAGUUCUUUGUUACUACAAAUAAUUGAUUUAUUCCUCAUAUGGAUAUCCUCCUGAAAGAUAUUGAUAGCGGGAGAAAGAAAUUUUAUGUCAGAUAACUAUUUCUCAUUCCACAUUUUACCACUUUUCAUUUCAUGGCCUUCCUUCAAACACAUAAACUUGAUGCAGUCUGUAGGCACUGUAUGCUGAUCUCACAUUUCUCUUUUCAUUUCUUGGUUUGCAUGAAUUUUACUGGUAUAGUGCAUAUUCGUGAUAGGAACUCUUAGCAUUGAGGAAACACAAAGACUCAUUUUGUAUGUACAAUCUGUAAUUUACAUGCCUAAAACCACAAAACUAGAAUACAAAUAUAUGGCAUCAAUAUAGGGAGAAUGCAGAUAACACUUACAGAUUCAAUUUUUUUGUCCACGGAAAUAAGGGAUGGACUAGCGGUAGUAAGACCUUCGAGAGGCUUUCAAAACCCCACGGAAAAUAGCAAGUAAUCUUCCCAUGAUAAACAAAAUCCUAAUACUCUCCAAACACACAAAGUUAGCAUUUUGUAUAUCCUAGAGUCAACCACAUUUGAAAUUAUUCACUCAUGUUUCAUGCAAUUUUUACAAAUGCGAAAUAAAUCAAGACCUUUUUCUAAAGCUUCUAAAAAGUAUACUUACAUUAGCGAAUGGCUAUAAUUCCUUUGUAUGUGUACUGUAAUAUAUAGGUACAUGGAAAAUUGUGACAUGCCUGCAAUAACAUAUGAUAUUUAUUUAUGUUUGCCCUGCAAUAAAACUAUUUAGUAAAUGCAAAGCCAUCAAGAACUAAUAAUAUAUAAUAAUAUUGUUAACUAAACAUAUACAAAGUAAAUAUUCAUAAUAUGAUAGCCGUGCGAAUGCACGGGUUGGCGACUAGUGCUUGCUAAUUAUACUUUUAAGGGUGGAAUACCAAAGAAACUUGGAGAUCCAGGAGUACCAACUAUACCAUGCUCCAUUAAAAUAAACUAUGUUAAAACUGCUUUAUGUGAUCUUGGAGCUGGUGUUAGUGUUAUGCAUCUCUCUUUAUAUCGUAGACUUGAUUUGAAUAAGUUGACACCUACUAAAAUAUCUU